GUUGGUCAGUAUGCUUUAGUUGUAAACAUUUACGACCGGAAGUGAAUUCUGCUAGCACUGAAGUUAAGGGAAAGUCAACAUAUCUUUGUAUAACUUAGAGCCACCUCCCAUUCCUGAUUGUUGGCCCCGAUUUCCAAUUCCAGUUUCAAAAUUAAAGAAACUGGACCGCAUUUUUUAAUAAAAAAAUCAUAGCUAAAUCUCAUUAUGUAGUCACAGUUCUUACUAUUGCCGACUAAAAUCUCAAAAAUGUCUUCUCCUGAAGAGCGCAACAUACUUUUCAUGGAUUUCAUGUUGUAGGGGAGGAUCAGGAGUCCCGAUUAAUGCAUACUGUACCCGAUUGUCCACUUUCAUCUACUUAUACACAAGAUUGCCCCCAAUAUGCACCAAUUAAAUUAAUUGACCCGGGACGCUUUUUUAUCCAGACGUUACAAUUUAAAGAAAACAUGCUUAUAACUUUCCUGAUUGCCCACAAUACUCUACACUACUACACUCUAUCCCCAACUACACCUGAUUUCAGGCCCCCAUUGGGUAUAAGGGUUUUUGUUUUUCCACCCAAAACAUAUACAAUCAGGUAUCAAAAAUCAGCAAUGGGAGAUUGCCCUAACUUGAAUUUGGCAACACAAUUCAACGCAUCAGUGCAUCAUAUUUUGUGCCAAACAUUCUGGAUCAUUGCAAAAUAUAAAAAAGGUGUUAUUA